ensembl:lncRNA
AGAAGCAGAGAGCUGGCAGCAUGAGGACUCACCCUGACAUGGCUGCCUUUGAAGAUGGAAGGAAGAGGCCGUGAGGCAAGGAGUGUGGGAGUGGCCAGAAGCAGAUUCUCCCUUAGACUAGCCUCGCUGAGAUGUUAGUUGCAGGCCUCUGAGACCCGUGACGAUGAAAGUCAGUCCUUGCAGAGUGCACACCACGUGCUAGCCGCAGUCUGAGGAACUCCACAGGUGUCACCUCGUUGCAUCUUUAGAGAAACCAUGAAAGGUGGGGAUGAUUACUGCCCCCGCCAUUUGACAAACGAGGAACAGAAGCCCAGAGAAAGCACCUCACUUUCCCGGGGUCACGGGGCUGGGGAUGGCGGAGCCUGGGUUCCCACCCUUGUGGAUCAUCAGCCUGCCCCCGUUCUCCGUGCAGACAAUGCACGUUUCCUCAAUUUCAGGGAAAGUGCUGUGCAAACAUGGCACCGGCGAGGGUGACCGCAAGUCCCAGUCUGCCCGGGACCAGCGCCAUGUCCUGGAACAGCUGUUAAUGGUGCCUCCAGUCGUCAUCGGCCGGGAUCUGGUUUGGGGGAUGAGUCAUGUCGCCACUCCACAGACCCUUCCUCCCAUGGGGACUGAAGUCUCAGGAGUUCUGUCACUUGCAGCCAAAAGAAUCCUGACAAAAGGACUCCUUGUAAGAUACCAUUUCUGGCAGAGCACCGGCCGAGCCCAGAGCUUCCAUCAAAGGUAACACACAGAUAAUUCCCCUCCCUCUGCUGGGUCAGACACUUCAAGCUGGGCUCCUCAAGCUGUUAACUUUUUUUCCUCUUAGUCUUUGUUCCAAACAUGCAACGCAUGAGUCCUUCCUGAAUUAAUCUGUCCUUUCUGUGUGCAGAUAAACUCUGUCUUCCUUGAAUGACUAAUGUAUAUUCUGGGCCAGGCACUGUAAACAGCCUUCCACUACCCAUAGUGAUUCCAGCAGCACCAAGAGCAUGUCUGCUUCUUCCUCCAGAACCUUCCUGGCAUUAUCAUUGCCUCCUGAAAUGCCACUAUGUUGGACUUGCAGACGGAGAAAAUUUACCCUGGAGAAAAGGACACGUUAAACCUUAUAUUCAAGCCUCUUAGAGGAGGGAGUGAGAAUAUAUUUUUCCAUGAGCAAUUGUUGAUAAGAGAAAACUAGGAUUUGUGGCAUUCUCAGUGCUAGCAGUUACAAUAUUUUGGGAGCAUGACAGUCCUGAGGAUGUGACCCGGUCCACUCCAAAGAUAACUGGAGGUCUGAUUUCUAAACUCACUGGCCAUUCAUUCACCCAGCAAAUAUUUCAAGUGCCGAGCCCCAUGCUGAGCACUGAUUGUCAGUUGUGUGAUUUUGGACCAAGCACCUUUCAGUGUGGGAUGGGAUCGGUCAGCAGUAGUGAGUAUGAGGACUCUUAUUGCUUCAUGGCAGACACAGCUAAUUGAUCCCAGCAUCUCAUCCUGCUGCAGAUGGGGUGGGUUCCAAAUCCAUACUAUCAUCCUUAGGCAACAUCAUCCUCCAUUAGGAGCCCCUGCCCCAAGAGGAGCAUUUCUAGAGACAGGCAAGCAUGUCCUCUUCAAAGUAGCACAUGCCAUGCCCACUCACUCUGGUGCCCAAAGCAAGUCCCCUAUGGCCAAGGCCGAGUUGCACAGGGUGGGGGUCACGACCCUUCCGCAGAGGAGGAUAUACCAGAACCAACAGCCAUCCAGUCUUCUCCUGAGCCAAGAAUAAGGUGGCA